AGACCAAAGUGGGGGACCUUCGGGCCUCAUGCCAUCAGAUGUGCCCAGAUGGGAUUAGCUAGUAGGUGGGGUAACGGCUCACCUAGGCGACGAUCCCUAGCUGGUCUGAGAGGAUGACCAGCCACACUGGAACUGAGACACGGUCCAGACUCCUACGGGAGGCAGCAGUGGGGAAUAUUGCACAAUGGGCGCAAGCCUGGGAAUACCGGUGGCGAAGGCGGCCCCCUGGACAAAGACUGACGCUCAGGUGCGAAAGCGUGGGGAGCAAACAGGAUUAGAUACCCUGGUAGUCCACGCCGUAAACGAUGUCGAUUUGGAGGUUGUGCCCUUGAGGCGUGGCUUCCGGAGCUAACGCGUUAAAUCGACCGCCUGGGGAGUACGGCCGCAAGGUUAAAACUCAAAUGAAUUGACGGGGGCCCGCACAAGCGGUGGAGCAUGUGGUUUAAUUCGAUGCAACGCGAAGAACCUUACCUGGUCUUGACAUCCACAGAACUUUCCAGAGAUGCAUUGGUGCCUUCGGGAACUGUGAGACAGGUGCUGCAUGGCUGUCGUCAGCUCGUGUUGUGAAAUGUUGGGUUAAGUCCCGCAACGAGCGCAACCCUUAUCCUUUGUUGCCAGCGGUUCGGCCGGGAACUCAAAGGAGACUGCCAGUGAUAAACUGGAGGAAGGUGGGGAUGCGUAGAUCAGAAUGCUA
rnacentral:rRNA from 1 species